rnacentral:lncRNA from 1 species
UGUGGCCAAGCCCACACAUGACCUAGGCUGACCCCCGAGGUUCCCAACUGCUGGGUUCUCUGUCUCCAUUCCUUUCACCAGGCGGUCAAGGGCGAUGGCCUCUGAGUGUCUCCUGCAGAGCCUGGGACCUACAGAUGCUCUGUGGACUUCGUGGCCAUCUCAUCCUAACUGCAUUAAUCCCAAGGAGGAGGCACCGUGGGCCCGUCCCUCUGUUCCUUGAUGAGGCUGGCUCACACGGAGUGGGAAGAGCUUUCAUCCCAGCUCCCUGGCUCUUCCCUCAAGAUCCGGGCCUUGCCAAGAGUCAUGGGUCCACCCCAAAGAAUCAGAGAAGUGGAAAGUGAGCCCUGGGGUUUACAAACAAGCUUCCUAUGGAUACAACAUCAUCUCACCUAAGUCACUCUGAAAGUCUUCUAAGUACAAACAAAAAGGCUAUCAGGAUGGGCCCACCAUGGCUGAGUAGUAUUUAAGGAUGCACUUAUAAGUGAUAAGACUGAAAUAAUAGGAGGGAGAUGUAAGCACAAAUUCAGGGUUGUGAUGACCUUUGGGAGGUGGGAAGGUCGGGGAGGGACGGAGAAGAGCCCGUGGCAGACACAGUUAAUUGGUAAUGUCCUAGUUCUUGGAUUGACCAGCAGGUCAUGGGCAUUCCUUGUUAGAAUGUUUAAACAAACACUCUAAAGUAAACAACAACAAUAGCGUGUCAUGAACUAAAGAUUAUAAUUCAUCUAAUUACUUUAAUUCCUCCUUUGUUUUAAAUGCAAACACCUGACUACACAGAUAAUGGAGGUUCCAGCCCAAUAUGGCCUCGGAGGUGGCCAAGAUGCCCCUGGUAGGGAUCUCCCGAAUUGAAUGAUGGAGAGUGAUGUUGUCAUCAAUCACCCGUGUGCCAUGAGCCCCACAAUCCAGGAGAGCUGAGGCACAGGAAACUCACACCAUAAAGGCAACCUUCCCCUCCCACACCCCAAGCCAUCAGAGUCGCUGAGCCCUGUGUUUUAUUUCACCAUUGUGUGCCUACCACUUAACACGGAAAGAUAUUACUCAUGAAAGAUGAGUCCUGAAAGGAAAGUUUGGGGUUUUAUUAUACCUCUGGGCUAGAUUGGGCGAUCUUUGAAGAAAUAAGGUUGUACCCUUUUCAUUUCCUAUCCACAGGACAAUAUUUUAGCCAUGCGUAGGGUCAGAGAGA